rnacentral:rRNA from 1 species
CUUGAUCAGGUUGUUGCUGGCCUUUUCGAAGGCAUGUGCACGCUUGUCAUCUUUAUUUCUCCAACUGUGCACAUGUUGUAGACCAUGGAUGUCGUUGCUUAAUAGCAGAUUUGAGAAGUGCUUUAGCUUUCUCUUAUGAGGUCUAUGUUAUCCAUCUUUUACACACUGUUUUAGAAUGUUUAUUAUGGAAAUGUACAACUUUCAGCAACGGAUCUCUUGGUUCUCGCAUCGAUGAAGAACGCAGCGAAAUGCGAUAAGUAAUGUGAAUUGCAGAAUUCAGUGAAUCAUCGAAUCUUUGAACGCAACUUGCGCUCCUUGGUAUUCUGAGGAGCAUGCCUGUUUGAGUGUCAUUAAACUUCUUCUCAACCCAUCCAGUUUCAUCUGUGCAUGGGCUUUUGGAUGUUGGGGGCUUGCUGGUUUCCAUUUUCCCAGCUCUCCUGAAAAGCAUUAGCGGCAUCUGGGCUGCUUGCAGGUGUGAUAACUUGUCUACACCUUUGCAGCGGCUGCAUCUGUGCUGCUCUUAUUAGUGGGCAUUGAUGAAAUUUGACCUCAAAUCAGGUAGGACUACCCGCUGAACUUAAGCAUAUCAAUAAGCGGAGGAAAAGAAACUAACAAGGAUUCCCCUAGUAACUGCGAGUGAAGCGGGAAAAGCUCAAAUUUGAAAUCUGGCGGUCUUUGAUCGUCCGAGUUGUAAUCUAGAGAAGUUGUUACCUGUGCUGGACCG